rnacentral:rRNA from 1 species
UCGGGAAUUUUGCCCAAUGGGCGAAAGCCUGAUCCAGCAAUACCGCGUGAAUGAUGAAGGCCUUAGGGUUGUAGAGUUCUUUUAGUUGGGAAGAUAAUGACGGUACCAACAGAAAAAGCCUCGGCUAACUCCGUGCCAGCAGCCGCGGUAAGACGGAGGGGGCUAGCGUUGUUCGGAAUUACUGGGCGUAAAGGGCGCGUAGGCGGAUUAGUAAGUUGGGAGUGAAAGCCCGGGGCUUAACCUCGGAACUGCUUUCAAAACUGCUAGUCUAGAGUGAAGUAGGGGGUGAUGGAAUUCCUAGUGUAGAGGUGAAAUUCUUAGAUAUUAGGAGGAACACCGGUGGCGAAGGCGGUCACCUGGACUUCAACUGACGCUGAGGCGCGAAAGCGUGGGGAGCAAAC